GCAUAGAUCAGUCUGCUUUCUAUCACCAAAAGACUCAACACAUGGUUUAUUAGCAUGGCCCCUGCACAAGGAUGACACGCAAAUUCGUGAAGCGCCCCUCAUUCUG